rnacentral:tRNA from 12 species
UCGUAGUUCAAUGGAUAGAAUAGAAGUUUCCUAAACUUUAGAUGCAGGUUCGAA